rnacentral:rRNA from 1 species
GACGUAGGGCGCGAGCGUUGUCCGGAUUUAUUGGGCGUAAAGAGCUCGUAGGCGGCUUGUCGCGUCAACUGUGAAAACCCGUGGCUCAACCAUGUGGUCUGCAGUCGAUACGGGCAGGCUAGAAUUCGGUAGGGGAGACUGGAAUUCCUGGUGUAGCGGUGAAAUGCGCAGAUAUCAGGAGGAACACCGGUGGCGAAGGCGGGUCUCUGGACAGUUCCUGACGCUGAGGCACGAAGGCCAGGGGAGCAAACGGG